AAAUAUAUUCAAAAGUGGUCAAAACACGUCACUAUUUCCUUUAUGUUUUCCCCUUAUUGAUGGAAAUGGUUAAACAUGAAGGUAGUGAAUUUGUUCGAAUAAUAUGUUGAUAUAUUU